rfam:Candidatus Sodalis pierantonius str. SOPE, complete genome.
UCAGAUCGCUAUCGUAUCUUACGGUAAAGAGAAACCGGCCGUACUGGGUCACGACGAAGCGGCUUACGCCAAAAACCGUCGGGCCGUCCUGGUUUACUAAGAGUCUUGCAUGAGCAAUAACUUCAGACCUUAUCUGUUG